rnacentral:rRNA from 2 species
CGGUCAAGUUUUUAAGGGCAUAGGGUGAAUGCCUUGGCACUAGGAGCCGAUGAAGGACGGGGUAAGCACCGAUAUGCCUCGGGGAGCCGCAAGCAGGCUUUGAUCCGGGGAUUUCCGAAUGGGGAAACCCACCUAAGGUAAACCUUAGGUAUCAAUCACUGAAUACAUAGGUGAUUGAAGGCAGACUCGGGGAACUGAAACAUCUAAGUACCCGGAGGAAGAGAAAGAAAAAUCGAUUCCCUCAGUAGCGGCGAGCGAAAGGGGAAGAGCCCAAACCAGUGGAGGUUUCCUUUGCUGGGGUUGUGGACACGACCANNGUAGCCGAAGGGCCUGGAAAGGCCCACCAUAGAAGGUGAAAGUCCUGUAGGCGAAACUAAUGUAACCUUCGGUUGUGAUCCAGAGUACCACGGAACACGUGAAACUCUGUGGGAAGCAGGGGGGACCACCCCCCAAGGCUAAAUACUCUCUAGUGACCGAUAGCGUAUAGUACCGUGAGGGAAAGGUGAAAAGAACCCCGGAAGGGGAGUGAAAUAGAACCUGAAACCCUAUGUUUACAAGCAGUGGAAGUACUUUAUAUGUACGACCGCGUACUUUUUGUAGAACGGGCCAA